AACGCUGGCGGCGUGCCUAAUACAUGCAAGUCGAGCGGUAAGGCUCCUUCGGGAGUACACGAGCGGCGGACGGCAGAGUAACGCGUAGGAACGUACCCCAAACUGAGGGAUAAGCACCAGAAAUGGUGUCUAAUACCGCAUGUGCUCCUCGGAGUAAAGCUUCGGCGGUUUGGGAACGGCCUGCGUAUGAUUAGCUUGUUGGUAAGGUAAAAGCUUACCAAGGCGACGAUCAUUAGCUGGUCUGAGAGGAUGAUCAGCCUGACUGGGACUGAGAACGGCCCAGACUCCUACGGGAGGCAGCAGUAGGGAAUUUUCCACAAUGGGCGAAAGCCUGAUGGAGCAACGCCGCGUGCAGGAUGAAUGCCUUCGGGUUGUAAACUGCUUUUAUAUGUGAAGAUUAUGACGGUAGCAUAUGAAUAAGGAUCGGCUAACUCCGUGCCAGCAGCCGCGGUCAUACGGAGGAUCCAAGCGUUAUCCGGAAUUACUGGGCGUAAAGAGUUGCGUA
rnacentral:rRNA from 1 species